rnacentral:lncRNA from 1 species
CCCUCUUUUUUUGGUGAUCUGCGUCUUCUGCUCUCGAUUUUUGUUCUACCUUUCCCUUCUUACUUUUUCUUUUCCUUGUUUUCUCUAAUCUUUCCUCCCAGUUUUGUUUUUCCUCCUUUGUUUCUCUCUCUGUCCGUCGUUUUUUGUUUUUUGUUUUUGUCGUGUGUUUUCUCUAAGUUUGUGUAUUUUGUGUGUGGGAUUUGACUCUUCUCCAUUUUCAUUAUCUUUAUUUUUUUAAAAUUCUUACUUGAAUGAAAAAUACGUGGCA